AGUGGGUAUCUGUCCUCCACUGGUCAUGGAGCGACUCACAGAGCAGUUUGGUCACAGCGAGAGCUGGAAGCCAGCGUUGGCAAAGAAGGAGGCCACACCCAGGAAUAAACCCUGGCCUCAAGCUGACCCCUGGCCAUGGCAGUGAGUGGGAGAACAACCCUGGCAGAGUCCACAUUCACCCCAUCAACAAAGGACCCAGACCCUCAAAACGAGACCGACAGAAUCUCCAGCAAGGGGUCUGGGGCAAGCAGCAGCUUUAUCUACAGCAGAAUCAAAAGAAAGAGGAUACAGCAAGUCAGAAUCAUUAAAACAGAGAUCAAGAAAG